rnacentral:lncRNA from 1 species
GUUUAAUUAAUAAAUCAAGGAAAAACAUUAAAAUCAACAAGUGUUUUGAAAAUGAGAAUAAUAAAAUAAAAUAAAAAGGAGUAAAAAAAUAAAAAUAAGAAUAAAAACAAAGAAAAAUAAAAAUAAAAAUGAAAAUAAGAAAUAUGAUACAAGGUAUUGAACCCGUACCACAGGGCUUGCCAAAUGACACCCUUACCAACUCAACCAACUUUGU